UGGUGAUGUAUCGCCUACGUACCGUCCACAUCUGCUGAGAUAGAGGCUUACCUCACUUCAAUCCCUGGUACAUCAUUGGUUUGUAAUAGUUUAUUGCACAGCUUAAGUCUUCGCGGUUCAAGAAUCGAAGGCUAACAGAAGAAGCUAAGCUCUCCAAAUAAGCAUGGCACGAUUUGUUGUUAAUUGCCAGAGGACUUUUUCGGAAUGCACAAGACUAGCUUUGUCGGACAAUGUGGAGACAGACUCUGGGCCGAUUAUUACAAGGAUGGAGACGAUGCAGAGAAGUAUUAGUUGGGCAAGAGGGCGAUUGAUUGAGCCUGACUUGGCAGAUGAAAUGCAGGAUAUCAUUUCCGAGUUUCUUCAAGAGUUGAGAACACUCACUCAGCAGCAAGUUGGCCAAGGCUACCGGGAUCCUCAAGUUGUUGGUCGAACCACCAUAGGCUGAGGACGGCAAGGCAUAUGUCCCCCUACCAAAUUUUCAUUCGAGGUUGCCUUGCCCAACAAGCCCGAAAUCAGACUGCCAUCCAGGGAGUGUUUGGAGCUGAUGAACAACCAGUUGCAGGGGAUGACAUCCCAGCUGCAGAGGAUGAAGUGGCACCACCUAAUUUGGACUAUGCAGAAGCAGUCCAGGUUCCCAACAACCAGUUGAAUCUUGAGGAAGGACACAUGCACGAGCUGAUGGAACAGGUCAAUCCUUUGGACGGAGCACGGGACAGUUUGGGAAUUGAUGU